GGGAAGUCCUGGCCCUUGGCCCAACCUCCUGCUGUCCCCGGUCUGAGGGCCCAAGCCCCGCGUCUCCGCCUUGCCGUCCAGCCUGUCCUUGGUGUGGGGUGCUUGGAAGUGUGAGCACCCUCUCUGGCUCUUUGCCGGCCCCAAGGGUCGUUGCGGCGGCCCCCGGGCCCAGUCAUCAGCCCUCUUUUCCGGUGCCGGAACUAUCGUACUGGUGCCCUAGUUUCCCAGCCGGCAGGCGGAGUGAGGAGGAAGCGGAGGCGAGACCGCGCUCAACACUGGGGAAAGGAAGGAGGCGGGCCCUGCGCGCAGCAUUUUGGGAAAGAGUGGAAUUCUGGGUGUUAGGCCCGCCAUUCGCUUGACUCACGCCUUCGCCGUAGCAUCUUUCGCAGCGGACCGAAGAGAAGAAAAGUAGGCCAGAGCCGAACUCUCUUCCUGCCAAGAUGUCUAUUGGUGUGCCGAUUAAAGUACUGCAUGAGGCCGAGGGCCACAUUGUGACAUGUGAGACGAACACCGGUGAGGUAUAUCGGGGGAAGCUCAUUGAAGCAGAGGACAACAUGAACUGCCAGUGGCCGCAAGAGGAAGAGGACGUGGAAUGGGACGUGGAAACAUCUUUCAAAAGCGAAGAUAAUUUUCUAAGUUGAACAGAACUUUGUCCUUUUUUCUUUCAGGUUAUCUGAGUUCAUUGGAGUGGGUGCUUGUGCAUAUAUGCUAGGUAUCUUUUGCCAUCUUUCUCUUUAGAUCAGGGGAAAUGUUUAAGCUAAAUAAAUCUGGGGGGUUUUUUGUUCUGUUUUGUUUUGUUUUCUUUGAGAAAAUAAGGACUUUGUGUUCAUUUGAAGUUUGCUUUGGCUAAAUUUUGACACCCUGGGGGAUGUCCUGGGAGAAUGCCAGUACUUUGAAAUAGCACAGCUAUUGAUGAGAUUUUAAGCUGCUGUUCCUGGCCAGUUGCAGGUUAAGCCCCAGAAAAGUUCACCUUGGAGAAGCUCCGAGAACACACAGAUUGUGUCUCAUUCAUCUUCAGACACAGGCACAUAGUGUGGCACUUUGUUCAGUUAACAUUUGUGGAGCUGUCAUCAGCUCAGCUUUAACAACACAGGUGACUCUUUCCCUUGAUAAAGUCAUAGGUAAUUCAGGGGCUGGGUGCGGCGGCUCACGCAUGUAAUCCCAGCACUUUGGGAGGCCAAGGCGGGCGGAUCACGAGGUCAGGAGUUCGAGACCAGCCUGGCCAAUAUGGUGAAACCUCGUGUGUACUAAAAAUAAAAAAAUUAGCCGGGUGCGGUGGCAUGUACCUGUAGUCCCAGCUACUCGGGAGGCUGAGGCAGAAGAUUCGCUUGAACCCAGGAGGUGGACAUUGCAGUGAGCAGAGAUCAUGCCACUGUACUCCAGCUUGGGUGACAGAGCGAGACUGCACCUCAAAAAAAAAAAAGUAAUUCAGGGGAUCCUAGUGGCCAGCUUCCUUGGCUCGUAUACUGGCUACAACAAGUAGUUUUGUGGUGAUUUGUGGAAACAGAUUCUUGGGAGCAUAUCAGAGCAUCUCAGCAUUGAUUGGCACAUCCAUAGUUGUUAAUGUAGGAAGGGUGACCAGCAGCUCAGCACAGUGGCUUGCUUCCAGCACUCUGGGAGGCUGAGGUAGAGGAUUGUUUGAGAGGAGUUCAAAACCAGCCCGCGAGACAUAGUGAGACCCUGUCUCUACAAAAAAUUCUAAAAAUUAACUUGGCAUGGUGGUGCACACCUGUAGUCCUCGCUACUAGGGAGGCUGAGGUGGGAGGAUCACUUGAGCCUGGGAGUAUGAGGCUGCAGUGAGCUAUGACCUUGCCACUGUACUCCAGCCUGGGCAAAAGAGCAAGACUUUGUCUUUAAAGAAAAAUAAGUAGUAGUAAAGAGUAUAAGAUACACAGGGUGAAUAAUUGUGACAAAAACACAGAAACUGGAAAAGCAGCCUGAAAAAAUCAAAUCACCAAAAAGAGGUCUUGCCAGGUAUUCAUUAUGGUAUGAGCUACAGCAUAAGCCAUCAAGAGGAAAACUGAUCAAUUAUUGGCUUUUAGAAUAUUGCUCAUUGAACAGAUUAUUCAAGUAAUGAAAGAGGAGGGGAAAAAAAUCCAGCACAUUAGUUAACCUGGCAUCAAUUAAUGAGGUUCUAAUAAGCUUUGUCUUAUGAUACUACCUGGAGGUUACAGAGCUGGUAUUCUGAGGAAUAAGCAUCAGUGAGUUGGUCAGAUACAAUAGACGUUUAAAAUAGGGCUUCAGGCCAAACAUGGUGCCCCACGCCUAUAAUGCCAGCACUUUGGGAGGUCGAGGCGGGAGGAUCACUUGAACCUAGGAGUUUGAGACUAGCCUGGGCUGUUAAGCUUUGUUAACCAAGACCGCAUCUCUACAAAAAAUUGAAAAGUAGCUGGGCACAGCUGAUGCCUGCAGUCCCAGCUAUCCUGGAGGUUGAGGCAGGACGACCACAUGAGCCCAGGAGAUUAAGGCUGCAGUGAGCUAUAAUUGCACCACUGCACUCCAGCCUGGAUGACAGUGAGACCCUGUCUCUUAAAUAAAAAACAAAUGAAAGCAGUGGUUUUCAACAUCAACUAAGGAUCUUAUUAGAAAUGAAGACUGCAAGCCGCACACCUGGAGUGGGGCCCAGGAAUCUGCAUUUUAAACAAUUCCCUGGUCCCCAGAUAAGUAAUUCUUAAGUAUUCUAUCUUAAGUAGACCUAAAGCCGUAUUUUGACCCUGUACUAGUAUGUUAUUUUAGUAUAAUCAUUACUGAAUUCAUCAUACUUUUACAGUAAACAGUACUUACUUUGAAUAAUAACACAUUACACUUAAUAGUAGUGAACUGCAUCCUCGAUAUCAAAAGCGACUUUUGAUGUAGUUCACUCUGGACCCGUACAGGAACACCAGCCUUGCAGAUUCUCCACGCAAUGGAAACUGGCUAUAACCCUACCUAGAUCUGAAAAGUGAAGGGGGAUCAACCUAAAAUAUGUAGCUUUGUAAACAGUUUUAUAUCCUGCAUCUUAGGGGGGAAAAUCAGUUGACGCAGAUUGAAAACAAGUUGUUCCAUAAGGUUUAUUAUGAAAAACAGUAGCCCUCCUACCCUGCCUUUACCCCACUUUCCUUGCCUCACAGUAGUCUGUCCAACUCUUGGCUGAUUUGUUUGUAUUUACCUCCAUGUCUCAAUAUGAACAUGUUUUCAUGACUAUUCCUUGAUGGUUUUUUGUUUGCUUGUUUUAAGACGGUCUCACUCUUCCCCAGGCGGGAGUGCAAUGGCACAAUCAUGGCUCACUGCAGCCUCAACCUUCUCGGGCUCAGGUGAUUCUCCCACCUCAGCCUCCUGAGUAGCUAGAAAUACUGGUGCACACCACCAUGCCUAGCUAAUUUUUGUAUUUUUUGUAGAGACAGGGUUUUGCCAUGUUGCCCAAGCUGGUCUUGAACUCCGGGGCUCAAGUGAUCUGCCCGCCUCGGCCUGCUGGGAUUAUAGGUGUGAGCCACUGCACCCGGCCACCAUUAUCUUUUGAAUCCUCUCUUCCUCCUGCCCACCAUGAAUUUACUUCCUCUCACCCAUCUCCCUGAUAUUGUAAUUCUGGUUAGAUCAUAUUCAGUGUCAAAUUAUUAAGAUGUGAUUAAACUUUUU